GAAUCCUACGGGGGGGCAGCAGUGGGGGAUAUUGGACAAUGGGGGAAACCCUGAUCCAGCGACGCCGCGUGAGUGAAGAAGUAUUUCGGUAUGUAAAGCUCUGUCAGCAGGGAAGAAAGAAAUGACGGUACCUGAGUAAGAAGCCCCGGCUAACUACGUGCCAGCAGCCGCGGUAACACGUAGGGGGCAAGCGUUAUCCGGAUUUACUGGGUGUAAAGGGAGCGUAGACGGCCAGACAAGUCUG
rnacentral:rRNA from 1 species